CAAGGCCAAGGAAAAGGUCAGAGAAGUGGCCCAGGACGGGGAGCUGGUCGUGGCCCAGGAAGUGGCCCAGGACGGGGAACUGGUCGUGGUCAGGGAAGUGCCCCAGGACAGGGAGCUGGUCAGGGAAGUGGAAGUGGUCGUGGCCAGGGAAGUGGCCCAGGACAGGGAGCUGGUCAGGGAAGGGGCCGUGGAGCUGGCCAAGGCCGGGGAAGUGGCCAAGGA